AGUAAUCGUAGGUCAGCAUACUACGGUGAAUACGUUCCCGGGCCUUGUACACACCGCCCGUCAAACCAUGAGAGUUGGCAACACCCGAAGUCGGUAGUCUAACCGCAAGGAGGACGCCGCCAAGGUGGGGUUGAUGAUUAGGGUUAAGUCGUAACAAGGUACC
rnacentral:rRNA from 1 species